GCGCGUGUAGCUCAGCUGGAUAGAGUACUCAUGGCUACGAACCAGGUGGUCGGAGGUUCGAAUCCUUCCACGCGCACCA
rnacentral:tRNA from 1 species